AGUCUCCAUGAAGGUUGAGCUCCGAUGGCCAACGGCCAUUUCCACCUUGUGGUCUACAACUCUUCAUCCCGACUGCAUGGAGGUUGGUCUCUCUCUUCAGCUGGAUUUAGGCCACCAUCUGAGCCCCCGGGGUACGUUUUGUCUGACCCUGGCGCCAUUCGAACGGUUCUUCUACAGCAUCAGUUCUCUUUCCUGCCACCAUGUGAAGAAGGACAUGUUUGCUUCCCCUUCUGCCAUGAAUGGACAGGGUCCUGCUGUGUUGCCCAGGCUGGCCUUGAACUCCUGGCUUCAAACAGUCUUCCCACUUGGGCUCCCAAAGUGCUGGGAUUAAAGGGGCGAGUUACAGCACCAGGACCUGAAAUGUGACACCCCUGCUCCCCAUUCACCCUCCGCUAUCAGUAAAAGCUUCCUCAGACCUCACCAGAAGCUGGACAGAUAGAUGCUGGUGCCAAGCUUGUACAGACUGCAGAACCAUGGGCCAAAUAAACCUCUUUUCUUUA
rnacentral:sRNA from 1 species